AUGGCCUUAGUUCGAAAGUAUGGCAAGCCGGACGUCUUCCUCACAAUGACAUGCAACCCAAACUGGGAUGAGAUUAGGGAGGAACUCUACCCCGGUCAGACACCUCAGGAUCAUCCAGAUCUCGUUGUUCAUGUUUUUAGGGCAAAGUUGGAGGAACUCAAGAAUAAGUUGCUUUAGAAGGACAUCCUGGGCAAGGUGAGGGCUUAUGUUUAUGUGGUGGAAUUCCAGAAGAGGGGUCUGCCUCAUGCCCACUUCCUUCUCAUCAUGGAGGGGCGGUACAAGCUCACAUGCCCCGAGCAAUAUGACCGUCUUAUCUCAGCCGAGCUCCCAAACAAGAAGAAGUACCCAGAAUUGUACAAGAUGGUCGUGAAGCAUAUGAUGCAUGGACCUUGUGGUGCUUUGAAUCGUGACUGCCCAUGCACAAAAGGCCGUCCUGCUUGCAAGAAUCACUAUCCUCGACCUUUCAAUGCGGCUACGUUGCAGGGCAAGGAUUCCUAUCCGUUAUACAGACGACGUGAUGACAGUUCUAAAGCAAUGGUCCGAAAGGAAUGGCUGGAUAAUAGGUGGGUCGUCCCAUACAAUCCGCACCUCCUGCGUUACUUCAAUUGUCACAUCAAUGUUGAGGCAUGUGGAAGCAUAAAGGCUGUUAAAUACCUGUUCAAGUACAUAUACAAGGGUCAUGAUCGAGCAUCUAUUUCUCUGAGUGAGUCUGACAAGGCUAACAAAAAUGGAGGUAUAGAUGAGAUCAAACAGAUAGGGACGCUAGGUGGGUGA
rnacentral:rRNA from 1 species